GAUUGAAGAGCAUGAGACAGAAACAAGUGUGCAUAAUAUCACCCAGAGAAGGCUUGAAAGGGAGAGCUAAAAGAAAGGUAGAUGAUGAUCCAUGUCCUUUGAGAAGGUUGGCAGAGUAGACAAGGAGCAUUUGUGUGAGUUGGAGACCACUUUGGGUGAGAUGCAUGUGCUGUGCAAGCUUCGACUUGGAGACACCUCAUGUUUCGGAUCUUGCCUCCCAAGUGUUCCCCAGAGCUCACCCUCACCCUUCUGCUCUCUCUCUAUGUAUAUAUAAGCAGAGGAGGCAUUUGAGUUGCAGAGACUUGUUGGUUUCGUGGGAUGAAGGGCUCUUGGGUUCGCACCAUCACCUCCCCCUUCAGGAAAGCAUACACCAUCUUCAACGCUCCCAGAGACAAGAAGCCCCAAGCUGGGGAUGAUCAAAGAGGAUCGAAGCUACAGGGGGAGGUGAUGGCGUGCACGUACGAGGAUGUGCGAGUGAUGUGGUCGAUCCUCGACAAAUCGAGGCCCAGAGAAGGCAUAGCAGGCUCGUGAGGUAGGAAGAUGAAGAAGUUAUAUACGUGGAAUCUUUGUAUGUUGGCCGAGUAGAUUGAAUCCCCAUGAAGUCGAGAGAGAGAGAGAGAGAGAUCCAUGGCGAGAUUCUUAUUACUUUGUGAUUAUUCAUGUGGCCAAGAUUGUGUUCUGUUUGCUUUGCUACAUCGAUUUGUGAUCGGAGCU